rnacentral:rRNA from 1 species
CGUGCUUAACACGAUAGGCAAGUCGAACGGGGCGAGUUAGUAAGCUUGCUUUAUGAGCCUAGUGGCAAACGGGUGAGUAACGCGUAGGAAACCUGCCUCUAAGAUGGGGACAACAGUCCGAAAGGGCUGCUAAUACCGAAUGUUGCAUGGGGUUCGCAUGAACCUCAUGCCAAAGAUGGCCUCUGCAUAUGCUAUCGCUUAGAGAUGGUCCUGCGUCUGAUUAGCUAGUUGGCGGGGUAACGGCCCACCAAGGCGACGAUCAGUAGCCGGUCUGAGAGGAUGAACGGCCACAUUGGGACUGAGACACGGCCCAGACUCCUACGGGAGGCAGCAGUGGGGAAUCUUCCGCAAUGGGCGCAAGCCUGACGGAGCAACGCCGCGUGAGUGAAGAAGGUCUUCGGAUCGUAAAGCUCUGUCGAAGGGGACGAACGUGACUUCUAUCAACAACGGGGUCAAUGACGGUACCUUUCAAGAAAGCCACGGCUAACUACGUGCC